ACACAUGCAAGUCGAACGGAAUCCAUGGUGUAGCAAUACACCGGAAGAUUUAGUGGCGAACGGGUGAGGAUCACGUGAGAAACCUGCCCCAGACUUUGGGAUAACAAUUGGAAACGAUUGCUAAUACCGAAUGACGUCGGAGAACCGCAUGGUUCACUGACGAAAGGAAAUCCGGUUUGGGAGGGUCUCGCGGCCUAUCAGCUUGUUGGUGGGGUAAUGGCCUACCAAGGCAACGACGGGUAGCUGGUCUGAGAGGAUGAUCAGCCACACUGGGACUGAGACACGGCCCAGACUCCUACGGGAGGCAGCAGUGGGGAAUCUUGCGCAAUGGGCGAAAGCCUGACGCAGCAACGCCGCGUGCGGGAUGAAGGCCUUCGGGCUGUAAACCGCUUUCAGCAGGAACGAAAAUGACGGUACCUGCAGAAGAAGGAGCGGCCAACUACGUGCCAGCAGCCGCGGUGACACGUAGGCUCCAAGCGUUGUCCGGAUUUAUUGGGCGUAAAGAGCUCGUAGGCGGUUUAGUAAGUCGGGUGUUAAAACUCUGGGCUCAACCCGGAGAGGCCAUCCGAUACUGCUGUGACUUGAGUUCAGGAGGGGAGCGGGGAAUUCCUAGUGUAGCGGUGAAAUGCGCAGAUAUUAGGAGGAACACCGGUGGCGAAGGCGCCGCUCUGGACUGAAACUGACGCUGAGGAGCGAAAGCAUGGGUAGCAAACAGGAUUAGAUACCC
rnacentral:rRNA from 1 species